rnacentral:rRNA from 1 species
UACGUAGGGGGCGAGCGUUGUCCGGAUUUAUUGGGCGUAAAGAGCUCGUAGGUGGUUUGGUAAGUCGGAUGUGAAAUCUCCAGGCUCAACCUGGAGGGGUCAUUCGAUACUGCCAUGACUAGAGUUCGGUAGGGGAGUGUGGAAUUCCUGGUGGAGCGGUGAAAUGCGCAGAUAUCAGGAGGAACACCCGUAGCGAAGGCGGCACUCUGGGCCGAUACUGACACUGAGGAGCGAAAGCGUGGGGAGCAAACAGG